GGGCGGUUAGCUCAGCCCGGCUAGAGCGUCUGCUCGACACGCAGAAGGUCACAGGUUCAAAUCCUGUACCGCCCACCA
rnacentral:tRNA from 1 species